rnacentral:rRNA from 1 species
UGCCAGUGAUAAACUGGAGGAAGGUGGGGAUGACGUCAAGUCAUCAUGGCCCUUACGACCAGGGCUACACACGUGCUACAAUGGCAUAUACAAAGAGAAGCGACCUCGCGAGAGCAAGCGGACCUCAUAAAGUAUGUCGUAGUCCGGAUUGGAGUCUGCAACUCGACUCCAUGAAGUCGGAAUCGCUAGUAAUCGUAGAUCAGAAUGCUACGGUGAAUACGUUCCCGGGCCUUGUACACACCGCCCGUCACACCAUGGGAGUGGGUUGCAAAAGAAGUAGGUAGCUUAACCUUCGGGAGGGCGCUUACCACUUUGUGAUUCAUGACUGGGGUGAAGUCGUA